rnacentral:piRNA from 1 species
AUAUAUUUGGGAGCCAUCGA